GAGUAACCGACGAUCAUGUCAACCAGAUCAUUGAUAUUUCUUACACGGCACGCGUUGCUUUACAGAUUACAGUGGCUCCUGAACAAUCGCCGUUGAUGUUUCCCGCCGAUCUAUCUUCUUUCUCCAAGCAGCGUCGCCACGCCAUGCGUUUUAUGCACACCGAGAGAUUUCUACUAGGGGACUCCGAUGACUUUUACGCUGCCGGCGAGGCUGCAAUCUCAUUAUUAUAUAUGCAAAUUUAUAAAUGCUAUGCUUUUGAUAGUGUGCUAAGGUGUCUCUGUUGAUUCUUGCAACUUGUCUGCCUGUGCGAAGCUAUGAAGGAGAAGUUGUAUCGACGAGCCUGUAGAAAUUUCUCUGCUCGCUGAAAGAUCAUGGUUUUCUUCUUCCAGGACUCGCUUUCCAGGAAAACAUGAGCAGCUCGUUAUCAGCAGUGCGAUGCUGAUCUUUGAAGGUGUCAAGCCAGAGUUUUGUCUGGUACUUUGAUGGGGGAGGACCAGACCAACAGUUUUGGAAGAAGAGCUGGCUUUUUUGGAAGGACAAAGAGAAGGCACGUGACCCUGCUUUGGGCCUCAGCUGAAUUAUUCAAAUAAAAGGACAAAUGGUAGCAACUAGUUGAGGGCCACAUGGUUGCAUAAACUGCUAAAAUGCUGCAUAUGGGGGGGACUACGCACAGCUAUUGAUGUCUGUGCCUGUCCAUGUGGGCUAUAGCAGCUGGUGCUGCUGCUUUCUAAGAAGCCUUUUUGAGUGGCAGAGGUGGCAGUGUGGUGGAGAUCCCGCAGCAUGGUGGUGCUGGUGCAUUGCACCAGAAUGUUGAUGAUUAGGGCAUUUGGGCCCCCCUUCCUUUCAUAUCAUAUUAUGUGACUGGCUCUCUGUUUUUGAGUCUAUUCCAUUUCAAAAAGGGCAUGGGCUACACGUAUUGAUUAUUAAGAAAGAGAUGUUUGACUCAAUUCGAUCUGGAAAAAGUUGGUCAAGAAAGCUACGGACCCUGAAACUUAUGACACUACUGCCUUUCUCUCCCUCUGUCUUUCUCCAUCAUUCUCAGCCACCACUAGGCCUUUUAACUCUAAGCUCCUCAAAUCUUCUUCCCAAGUGGAGGGCCCUCAGGCCCGGCCACUUAUUCAUCAUUUCUACAGCUGCCCCAAUUAUAUAAAAAUGGCACUGACAUAAUCCUGCUCCGUUAAGGUGCGUUGGACCAGCAACAUGUGAUGCUAUGGCCAUGCCAUCCUCCAAAUUUUUAAUUUAAGAUUAUCUUGAAUAUGUGGGAUUAAUUAGGAUGUCCAGACUUUAUAGCACAUAAUUAAUUAAUUUGAAACUAGGUCACAACAAACUGUUUUAUCUAUUUUAGGACAUGUGAUAGAUCAUAAUGAACUCCUUCAAGAAAUAUCUAACCCACGCUUGAUAAGAAUAUCCUUAUUUUCAUUGAGAUGUGUGCAGAUUGUUUAGUUUAGAAACUCCUCCUUGGCGACCCUGCAACCAUAAUGGAGAAAACAGGCUCGAGGCUUGUUGAAUUGGCUUUCCGAUAGUUAAGUUGGGGUGGGGUGCAUGGAGGAACGGAAGCUUGGGAAGAAAGAAAUGAUAUGGAAUACAGUACAGUUUAAAGGAAAAACUACUUGAGAUAUUUCUUUUUUUUAUCAAUGUUUUAACGUUUUAGACAUCUACUAUUGUUUCAACAUGUUUCAUUGAAGUCACAUAUUUAGCUCAUCUAAGUUUGAAUUUUUAAUAAAAUAUUUGUUACGCCAAUAUUUUGCAACAAUAACUAAUAAUUAUGACCGAUAGGAUAAGGUUAAAACUCGUCCUUUAAUUAAUAUUUAGAGUUCUAUACAUAUGGUAUUGUGUGUGGAAAGAAGUUGACAUAAAAUGGUAGGGCUCCAUCCAUUUGAUAGUGCAUUAGAUGAUGAGGUUUUUCAUGUCUC